ACAACUUUUUACGGCGAAGUGAAGUCAGGAAAGUACCUCAUUUCAGGUUUGCAUCUAGCGUUAGAAAGGAUAUGGGGCCUAGCAGGGCAGCUUGGGUGAGAAUAACCGCAUCCCAUAAAUAAUGGAAGACGUGUCCUCCCAGCUGAGAGAGAGUCCAUCCAGAUGAUCUGCAAACAGUUCAGUAGCCAGCAUCUGAUCUGCAAACAGUUCAGUAGCCAGCAUCUGUGAUACUGAGGAAGUGAAUUUGUGCACAGGAUGCAGGGGGAGGAUGACACUAGACCACUUACUGGACAUAUUAUAACAGCGGGGCCCUACAGUAAAAGAAUCCAGGUGUUAAACCAAUCCGACUUUACUCCGAAACUGGAAAUGUGGAAAAUUACAGAACUAAAAUGACAAAGCAGAAGGCCCCGAAUGGCUAAAGAGCUGAAAUCUUAUAUCAAACAAGCCCCGAAAUACAUUUGGCUUACAAAACUGCAGUAAUUGGUCUCUCUGGUUUCACAACACCACAGUGGCAAACAUCCUCUUAUCCCACUUUUUUUUUAAGACAUAAGCAUAUAUGUUUCAAAUAAA